AUGGCGUCCCAAAUGUCGUCGGCAUGGACCGCUGUCGUCGUCAUCGUCUCGUCCCUCGCCGUCGCUCUCUCUCAUGAAGGUGGCGGGCCGAGCUUCGGCUACACGCCGGGGACCCCCGACGGCCCGGAGAAUUGGGGCAAGCUGAGCCCGACGUACAAGGCAUGCGGCGACGGCAAGGCACAGUCCCCCAUCGACAUCGUCAUCGCCAACGCUGUCCCUAACCCCAACCUCGACACCCUCACCCGCGUCUACGCCCCCUCCAAUGCCACCCUCCACAACAACGGCAAGGACAUCGUCAUGACCUUCGAGCAGGGCGGCGAGCCCGUCAUGCCGGGCUCCAUCAACGUCACCACCGCCGACGGCACCGUCAAGGAGUUCAAGUUCAAGAUGAUCCACUGGCACGCGCCGGGGGAGCACACUGUCAACGGCAAGCGCUUCCCGCUGGAGCUCCACAUGGUCCACGUCGACGACCAAGACCACAAGGCCGUCAUCGGCAUCCUCUACGAGAUCGGCAACCCCGACCCUUUCUACGACCAGCUGACGGAGAAGCUACGCGAGCUCAAGACGACGCCUACCGUGGCGGCCGGUGUGGUGGAGCUCAAGUCGCUGCAGAAGCGGACGGGGAGCUACUUCCGGUACAUGGGGUCGCUCACCACGCCGCCGUGCACGGAGAAGGUGGUGUGGAACAUCCUGGGCAAGGGCAGGGAGCUGAGCCAGGAGCAGCUGCAGCUCAUCACCGCGCCGCUGCCUCACCAGGACAACAGGCCGCCGCAGCCGCUCAACGGCCGCCAAGUCGCCUUCUACAACCCGCCAAACACCACCAUCUCCAUCCAAUCCCUAGUACAAUAA
rnacentral:rRNA from 1 species